GAAUAUGAGCCAGUAGUGUGCCUAGGUGGCCAAGGUGGCCAAUAACAUCCUAGUUUGUAUCAGAAAUAGUGUGGCCAGCAGGACAAUGGAAGUGAUUGAGUGAUUCUCCCCCUCUACUC